rnacentral:rRNA from 1 species
GUCGAGAAUAAUUCACAAUGGGGGCAACCCUGAUGGAGCGACGCCGCGUGGAGGAUAAGGUCUUCGGAUUGUAAACUCCUGUCAUGCGUGAACAAGGUUGCUUGGUUAAUACCUGGGCAAAUUGAUGGUAACGCAAGAGGAAGAGACGGCUAACUCUGUGCCAGCAGCCGCGGUAAUACAGAGGUCUCAAGCGUUGUUCGGAAUCACUGGGCGUAAAGGGUGCGUAGGUGGCGUGGUAAGUCAGAUGUGAAAGCCCGGGGCUCAACCACGGAACUGCAUCCGAUACUGCCAUGCUAGAGUACUGGAGAGGUGACUAGAAUUCUCGGUGUAGCAGUGAAAUGCGUAGAUAUCGAGAGGAAUACCAAAGGCGUAGGCAGGUCACUGGACAGUUACUGACACUGAGGCACGAAGGCCAGGGGAGCGAACGGGAUUAGAAACCCGAGUAGUCC